GACGAACGCUGGCGGCGUGCUUAACACAUGCAAGUCGAGCGGUAAGGCUCCUUCGGGAGUACACGAGCGGCGAACGGGUGAGUAACACGUGAGCAAUCUGCCCUUCACUUUGGGAUAACCCCGGGAAACCGGGGCUAAUACCGAAUGCGACCACCGACGGCAUCGUCUGGUGGUGGAAAGUUCCGGCGGUGAAGGAUGAGCUCGCGGCCUAUCAGCUAGUUGGUGGGGUAACGGCCCACCAAGGCAUUGACGGGUAGCCGGCCUGAGAGGGUGACCGGCCACACUGGGACUGAGACACGGCCCAGACUCCUACGGGAGGCAGCAGUGGGGAAUAUUGGACAAUGGGCGAAAGCCUGAUCCAGCAACGCCGCGUGAGGGAUGACGGCCUUCGGGUUGUAAACCUCUUUCAGCAGGGACGAAGCGAAAGUGACUUUACCUGCAGAAGAAGCACCGGCCAACUACGUGCCAGCAGCCGCGGUGAUACGUAGGGUGCGAGCGUUGUCCGGAAUUAUUGGGCGUAAAGGGCUCGUAGGCGGUCCGUCACGUCGGGGAGUGAAAACUCGGGGCUCAAACCCCAAGCUUGCUCUCGAUACGGGCGGACUAGAGGUAGGUAGGGGAGAACGGAAUUCCUGGUGUAGCGGUGGAAUGCGCAGAUAUCAGGAGGAACACCGGUGGCGAGGGCGGUUCUCUGGGCCUUACCUGACGCUGAGGAGCGAAGCGUGGGGAGCGAACAGGAUUAGAUACCCUGGUAGUCCACGCCGUAAACGUUGGGCGCUAGGUGUGGGACUCAUUCCACGAGUUCCGUGCCGCAGCUAACGCACUAAGCGCCCCGCCUGGGGAGUACGGCCGCAAGGCUAAAACUCAAAGGAAUUGACGGGGGCCCGCACAAGCGGCGGAGCGUGCGGAUUAAUUCGAUGCGACGCGAAGAACCUUACCUGGGUUUGACAUAUAGAGAAAACUGUCAGAGAUGGCAGGUCCGUAAGGGCUCUAUACAGGUGGUGCAUGGCGGUCGUCAGCUCGUGUCGUGAGAUGUUGGGUUAAGUCCCGCAACGAGCGCAACCCUCUUCCUAUGUUGCCAGCACAUAAUGGUGGGGACUCAUAGGAGACUGCCGGGGUCAACUCGGAGGAAGGUGGGGAUGAGGUCAAGUCAUCAUGCCCCUUAUGUCCAGGGCUUCACGCAUGCUACAAUGGCCGGUACAAAGGGCUGCGAAACUGCAAAGUAGAGCGAAUCCCAAAAAGCCGGUCUCAGUUCGGAUUGGGGUCUGCAACUCGACCCCAUGAAGUCGGAGUCGCUAGUAAUCGCAGAUCAGCAACGCUGCGGUGAAUACGUUCCCGGGCCUUGCACUCAC
rnacentral:rRNA from 1 species